GUCGAACGCACCUUUCGGGGUGAGUGGCAGACGGGUGAGUAACGCGUGGGAAUUUACCUCAAACUAUGGGAUAACACAGAGAAAUUUGUGCUAAUACCAUAUGUGUCCAUCAAGGGGACCUUGAUGGGGAAAGAUUUAUCGGUUUGAGAUAAGCCCGCGUUGGAUUAGCUAGUUGGUAGGGUAAAGGCCUACCAAGGCGACGAUCCAUAGCUGGUCUGAGAGGAUGAUCAGCCACACUGGGACUGAGACACGGCCCAGACUCCUACGGGAGGCAGCAGUGGGGAAUAUUGGACAAUGGGCGCAAGCCUGAUCCAGCCAUGCCGCGUGAGUGAUGAAGGCCUUAGGGUUGUAAAGCUCUUUCACCGG
rnacentral:rRNA from 1 species